rnacentral:lncRNA from 1 species
GCCUUACACAAACAAGCAAACAAUUUUUUUAUUUUACACUAGGCACAAUGCUUACCUGGGAAGAGUGUCUACUCCUGAUAUCUGGCACCCACAGGACAUUUGACACCAUUAUGAAGGGGAAGGGUGAUAUUCAUGAUAGUGACAUUUCAACGCUAAGAGAAGGUGAUCUCAUUUUGAGGAACAUAAAUACGUUUCUCAGCCCAUUUUAUCAUGCUGGGAUUUACUGCAGAAAUGAAGAAGUCAUUGAGUUUACAGCCAAAUCACAGGAAGGCGGGAAAGGAUUCAUCAGUACCUCAUCAUCAGAUAUGAAUGGUGGAGUGAGCAAAGCAGGGCUGAAUAAUUUCAUCAGUCAACAACCAUACAUUGUUCUUCGUUUGAAGAUUGCCAUACCCAAGGAUUUUGUUGGCAGAGUUAAGGCAGCAAUGAAAUCCACAAGAAUAUAUAAUCUCUUGGAGAGUAACUGUCUGCAUUUUGCUCUGGAACUGCUGGGGCUAUCACCACUGCCUCUUCCAGAACGAAAGUGAUGUCAACAGAACAGCAGCAAGAGAAAUAUUGCAAGCACAAGUAUAAAAUUGAAUCUGUUGAAAUCUUAACUUGUAUUUGCUGUACUCUACAGAUUUUAACUAAUCCUUUUAAAUAUGUGAUAUGCA